rnacentral:guide_RNA from 1 species
AUAAUGACGUAACUGAGCUAAUGAGGCAAUGAGAGAGAUAAUAUAU